GGCAUGAUGCAUGAUAUACAUGCAAGUCGAGCGGACAGAAGGGAGCUUGCUCCCGGAUGUUAGCGGCGGACGGGUGAGUAACACGUGGGUAACCUGCCUGUAAGACUGGGAUAACUCCGGGAAACCGGAGCUAAUACCGGAUAGUUCCUUGAACCGCAUGGUUCAAGGAUGAAAGACGGUUUCGGCUGUCACUUACAGAUGGACCCGCGGCGCAUUAGCUAGUUGGUGAGGUAACGGCUCACCAAGGCGACGAUGCGUAGCCGACCUGAGAGGGUGAUCGGCCACACUGGGACUGAGAACACGGCCCAGACUUCUACGGGAGGGCAGCAGUAGGGAAUCUUCCGCAUUGGACGAAGGUACCUAACCAGAAAGCCACGGCUAACUACGUGCCAGCAGCCGCGGUAAUACGUAGGUGGCAAGCGUUGUCCGGAAUUAUUGGGCGUAAAGGGCUCGCAGGCGGUUUCUUAAGUCUGAUGUGAAAGCCCCCGGCUCAACCGGGGAGGGUCAUUGGAAACUGGGAAACUUGAGUGCAGAAGAGGAGAGUGGAAUUCCACGUGUAGCGGUGAAAUGCGUAGAGAUGUGGAGGAACACCAGUGGCGAAGGCGACUCUCUGGUCUGUAACUGACGCUGAGGAGCGAAAGCGUGGGGAGCGAACAGGAUUAGAUACCCUGGUAGUCCACGCCGUAAACGAUGAGUGCUAAGUGUUAAGGGGGUUUCCGCCCCUUAGUGCUGCAGCUAACGCAUUAAGCACUCCGCCUGGGGAGUACGGUCGCAAGACUGAAACUCAAAGGAAUUGACGGGGGCCCGCACAAGCGGUGGAGCAUGUGGUUUAAUUCGAAGCAACGCGAAGAACCUUACCAGGUCUUGACAUCCUCUGACAACCCUAGAGAUAGGGCUUUCCCUUCGGGGACAGAGUGACAGUGGGUGCAUGGUGUCGUCAGCUCGUGUCCGUGAAGAGGUGUGGGGUUAAGUCCCGCAACGAGCGCAACCCUUGAUCUUAGUUGCCAGCAUUCAGUUGGGCACUCUAAGGUGACUGCCGGUGACAAACCGGAGGAAGGUGGGGAGUGACGUCAAAUCAUCAUGCCCCUUAUGACCUGGGCUACACACGUGCUACAAUGGACAGAACAAAGGGCUGCGAGACCGCAAGGUUUAGCCAAUCCCACAAAUCUGUUCUCAGUUCGGAUCGCAGUCUGCAACUCGACUGCGUGAAGCUGGAAUCGCUAGUAAUCGCGGAUCAGCAUGCCGCGGUGAAUACGUUCCCGGGCCUUGUACACACCGCCCGUCACACCACGAGAGUUUGCAACACCCGAAGUCGGUGAGGUAACCUUUAUGUAGCCAGCCGCUAGUAGAGUGACCC
rnacentral:rRNA from 1 species